rnacentral:lncRNA from 1 species
UUUCUUUUUCUUUUCCUUCUUCUUCUUCUCUUCUUCUUCCCGUGGGUUCCUUUGGGCCGAAACAGGGGACCGUGAGGUCCCCUCAUUGGAGUUCCGACCGACGACACGGCCGGUGUGGGGCGGCCGUCGGCAGGAGAAGGGCCAAACCGGUGGUCGGCGGUGACCACCGGCGUCGAAAAAAUCGAAGAAAAAUAGGCAAAAAC